rnacentral:rRNA from 1 species
GGUGAACGCUGGCGGUAGGCCUAACACAUGCAAGUCGAACGGCAGCACAGUAAGAGCUUGCUCUUACGGGUGGCGAGUGGCGGACGGGUGAGGAAUACAUCGGAAUCUACUUUUUCGUGGGGGAUAACGUAGGGAAACUUACGCUAAUACCGCAUACGACCUACGGGUGAAAGCAGGGGAUCUUCGGACCUUGCGCGAUUGAAUGAGCCGAUGUCGGAUUAGCUAGUUGGGGGGGUAAAGGCCCACCAAGGCGACGAUACGUAGCUGGUCUGAGAGGAUGGUAGGCGACACUGGAACUGAGCCACGGUCCAUACUCCUACGGGACGCCGCAGUGGGGAAUAGGGGACAACGGGGGCAAGUCUGAUCCAGCCAGACCGCGUGGGUGACGGAGGCCUUGGGGUUGUAAAGCCCUUUUGUUGGGAAAGAAAAGCAGCAGGCUAAUACGCCGCUGUUCUGACGGUACCCAAAGAAUAAGCACCGGCUAACUACGUG